AUUUAUGAAACAUAUAUGGGUGCACCUAUGAUGACCAUUGUUCUAUGUUUAAAUUAUAUUACAAAUUGUGUAAAAUUGCUUCAUGUAAAUAAAAGCAACCAUUUGGAGACGUUUAAUAUUUUGAAUGUAUUGUGUUACAUAACAGCUUGUGGUUUAUUAAUAAAAUCUAAACAAGAGUGACCUACAAUUUAAGUUUUCAACCAAAUCUCUGGAUGAUCUUAUCUGUUUUAUAUUAUAUAUGGAUCACUCACAAAGAAAGCAGAGACAUUUGAUUCUUAGUCUUUGUACAAUGUCAAUUUUGAAUAAUAUCUAGGAUCAGAUCAGAGAGUAAAUACUUCUUGUUAAAGAUGCAUUUUUUCCCCAUCUAGGUAUUAAAUAUCUCUCAACUAUUAGUGAUGUCAAUUACCGUUGUUAAAUAAGCUAAGAAUAUACUAAAUGUUAUCAGUUCAUGACUUGAAAUGACGUCAAGACCUGGUUAAACCUGAAAAGACUUGUGUAGUGAAACCACUAAUGAAUCUGCUUCAGAAAAACUUUAGAUGAGGAAGUGGCAACCCCAGGAAACCCUUCAUUGUCUUUGGAGCACACGAUUCGCUACAGGAAUUCUCAGCUUCCGUAGGCACGUGUAUUUUUGGCACAGGGCUCUUGGGUAAUGAGCUGUGAGUUUACCCUGAGGGCGCUGACUGUGACGAGCGCUGGGUGUUACAGACCAUGCUCCUUGUGAGUAGAAAAUGAACCAGCACCAGUAACAGAACUUGGUGACUUAAUGCCCUGGGAAAUGUAGCUGAAAAAUGACUAUGAGGUUCUAAAACUAUGCAGACUUCAAAACACUACCUCAGAACACUGAGCAGGCCAAAAAUAAGAAUGAAAUUAUUGUUUUAAAUGUUUUAUCAAUAUAUCUGAAUGGAUCACCUUCUAGUCAUUGGAUAAUGCCUGAGAAAUACACCUUCUAAGCCACUGAAGCCCAGUUCCUUGUUCCAGAGAAAGGCUGGAAGAUGGCUUCAGUAGAAGGACUGUAGGCUCACCUCAUUACAUGAAUACAACUAGAUAACUAUCGAAUCAUCCCUUAUACCCCAGAAAUUGACCUGAAGACUGGCAGAACAAACUCCACAACUAAAGGGAGAGAAGAGGCCAUAUGGAAGAAGGUAGGAAGUGUGAAAUGGAUCAUGGCCACUGCUGUGGGGGAUAGGGAGCCACGGUCACAAAGAAGGGUGAAAGACUAACACACAGGGGAGUACACAGGAAAAACAAAUUCCUGUAGCAAUUAGCUUGGAAAGUGAGAGGGGCUGAAUUUUGUGAGUUCUUGUAACCAAUGGGGCUUAAGAUCUGAAAUUUUAAAAGUCAAUGUGCUUGGCUUAGGGAGAGCUCCGAGGGUAUUGAGGCUGCUCUUGGAGAAAAAGCAGGGCCAUGGCCUGGGAGCAUAUAGCAUUGAAACAAUGACCUGAAGAGCUCCUUGCGUACGCACUUCAGUCAUCUCAGAGCACACCCCAGAGAGACCGUGUUCAUGGAGAGAACCCUCUGUGAAUAAAGGAACUUGCCGGUCCCAUUUUCCCCUCCCACCCCUCAGCCUAAGCACAGGGCCACCUGCAGGAACAUGUACAGUGGCCAUACUUGCAACUCUAAAACUAAGCCCUCCCUGAAGAACCACCUCCCUUUCCAGUCACACUUGCUUCAGUCCCAGCUUGGUGGGCCCUACCCCCAGAAGAAUGGCCCAAAUCCCUGCUCAUACCAUAUCUCCCAACGUGGGAGUUUUCUGGAGCCUCAGUUCCAGUGAGAGUGGCAACAGGUCUUAUUUCACAAGUAGACCAGAGGACACCUGGUUAAAACAUGACACACUUAGGCCAGGAACCAAACACUACCCACAAAGGCAGAGAGAGGCUCUGCAGAUAACUGGUCUGAAGGAUAAAGUGGCCAAGACAAAACAGCAGACCAUAAACAGCACACCCUGGAGACACUCCUGCAAGUGCCAGUUCCUGGGGAACAUGGACUACUAUACUGUGGGGCACUACAGGACCUCUUCUUCCUAACAUAUAGAAAUAGGCACAGAGUCUUACUUCUCUGGCUAUGGCCUUGUCCCGUCCUUUCAUUUGGGAUAAAUUCCUCAGUUUUCUCAUUUUAUGCAAGCGCAACAGAUAUAAGCAGAUAUAACAGAUAGAUAUAAGCAGAGGAAUGAAUUAAUGACCUAGAAGAUAAAGUAAUCAAACUGAAUUAAAAAAAAUAA